AAAGGAAUAGACGGGAGCCCGCACAAGCAGUGGAGUAUGUGGUUUAAUUCGACGCAACGCGAAAAACCUUACCAAGGAUUGACAUCCUAGGAACCCGGCGUAAUGGCUGGGGUGCCCCUUCGGGGGAAUCUAGAGACAGGUGGUGCAUGGUUGUCGUCAGCUCGUGUCGUGAGAUGUUGGGUUAAGUCCCGCAACGAGCGCAACCCUUACUGUUAGUUGCUACGCAAGAGCACUCUGGCAGGACUGCCGUUGACAAAACGGAGGAAGGUGGGGACGACGUCAAAUCAUCAUGCCCCUUAUAUCUUGGGCUACACACGUACUACAAUGGCGUGGAACAAAGGGCAGCGACCCCGCGAGGGUGAGCGAAUCCCAGAAAACACGUCCCAGUUCGGACUGGAGGCUGCAACUCGCCUCCACGAAGUUGGAAUUGCUAGUAAUCGCGAAUCAGCAUGUCGCGGUGAAUACGUUCCCGGGCUUUGUACACACCGCCCGU
rnacentral:rRNA from 1 species